GGAAAGAUAACUGUGCUAUCAGGAGAGAUGAAAAUGGUGCCAAUAUCUAACAUACAAUCUGAGUGAAAGAGGACUUGUGACUCCUGCUUGUUUCUGUCAACUUAUGUGGUUCAACUAUCAUACAGUAUGUUUGAGGGCACAAUUUCAACCCAGGUCUACAAAGAUGAAAAGCAGAUUUCCCAGUUUCAAAUUGGCUUUAUCUCACAGAACUGCUAAUUGCAACAGCAUUUUAAAAAACUAGUGAUGACAGAAAACACUGCGAGUUGCUGAGCAUGAUUUCUUUCUGAGGACAGUCCCUCAACCUCAGUCCCCAGGCUAAAUGCAAAAGAUUGUUAGAUAUACUCAAGCCUUUUAAAAGAAAACUGCCUUUCUAGUUUCCUAGAAUGAGGUCCGGGUUCAGAAUGAGUUUCAUUUUGGUGUCAGCAUGUAAAGGACCCAUUUCUACCACCACCACCCCAUCAUCAGUGAAGGAAGAAAAAGUUGAACUUAAAGUGAAAGCAUUAACACUGAGAAAGCAGAGCUUCAACCAUUCUUUUUGCAUGUAACAGUGAAUAUUGGCAGUCCAACACAGAGGCCAACUAGAGAUGGAUACCUAAAUAAUCCACCUGCAGAUUCUGUGUGUUGCCUUUUCUGCCUUUCUCCCAUGCUACCACCAUCUGUACUCUGUUCCCCAUCUGGUCCCUGUUGCUGAGCAAUACUAUGGUGCAUGACCAGGCCCUG